rnacentral:rRNA from 1 species
UGCGUAGGCGGUUAGUUAAGUCUGUUGUGAAAUCCCCGGGCUCAACCUGGGAAUGGCAAUGGAUACUGGCUAGCUAGAGUGUGUCAGAGGAUGGUGGAAUUUCCGGUGUAGCGGUGAAAUGCGUAGAGAUCGGAAGGAACAUCAGUGGCGAAGGCGGCCAUCUGGGACAACACUGACGCUGAAGCAAAGACGUGGGGAGCGAAACA